GAUGAACGCUGGCGGCGUGCUUAACACAUGCAAGUCGAACGGAAAGGCCGAAGCUUGCUUCGGUACUCGAGUGGCGAACGGGUGAGUAACACGUGGGUGAUCUGCCCUGUACUUCGGGAUAAGCUUGGGAAACUGGGUCUAAUACCGGAUAUGACAAUCUCUUGGAUGGGGUUGUGGAAAGCUUUUGCGGUAUGGGAUGAGCUCGCGGCCUAUCAGCUUGUUGGUGGGGUAAUGGCCUACCAAGGCGUCGACGGGUAGCCGGCCUGAGAGGGUGUACGGCCACAUUGGGACUGAGAUACGGCCCAGACUCCUACGGGAGGCAGCAGUGGGGAAUAUUGCACAAGGGGCGCAAGCCUGAUGCAGCGACGCCGCGUGGGGGAUGACGGCCUUCGGGUUGUAAACUCCUUUCGCAACCGACGAAGCUUUUUGUGACGGUAGGUUGAGAAGAAGCACCGGCUAACUACGUG
rnacentral:rRNA from 1 species